AGUUGGGGCUGCCAAGCCCAGCCAUACUCUCUGAUCUGAAGAAAAAAGCCCAGCCACGCUCCUCUCCGGCGGAGCCGCCGCCUUGCCUCGCCGGACUCGGAUCUCUUCCUCCCCUUCCUUCACCACGCGUCCACGCCCCUACUUCAUUCUCCGGAGUCCAGCCUACUGUCUCCACUUAAUUUCACGCGUGGUGACGGAGUCGGGGCGCCAACAAGACCUAGGAGCGACCCGCCGCCGGCGACAAGUCCGAAUACCUUCGGCGACUGAUCCGCAGACGGCGAAGACGACAUCCAUCUCUCAGGCCUCCCCCGCGGCAGCAGGACGCCAUGUUCCCACCGCCGAAUGCCUUUGGACCACUGCGGCCUCCUCAGCCUCCGCCAUGGCAGUGGCAGUGGCAGCAGCAGCAGCAGCAGCACCACCACCACCACCAGCACCCGCACCAGCACCAGCAGCUCCCUUUCCAGCCUGAGGCGGCGGCACUGGCGGCGGCCAGUUCCUUUUGGCAGCGUGACAAUGUGCGGGAGCAUUUGAAGAAGUUGCAAGAGACGGUCGCGAUUUCAAGCGCUCUGAUAAACGAGCUAGAGGAGAUUGCACUUGUGAGGAAUUCAUCUGAUGCUAGUGCACAAGAACCAGAUUCGUCUGCCGUAGCAUCGUCUUCAGGGUCUGGUGUCUCUUCUGCGGGCAGGCCUUGCCAUUUUUCGGACCUCGCAAGUGAAAUCAAGAUUAGCCAAGACACUCAUGAAUCUCUGGCGACAGAUGCGGCUAAUUAUCUCUGUUCUCAACUUCAGCACCUCCUGGCACCUAUUUCUUCCGCUAUUAACCAAGACGGUCCUUGGGCAGAAAAAUCGGCAAUGGUUUCGUUAGCUCAGAAGCUGCAGAAGUCCAAGAGAAAUAAGCGAUGGAGGAAGAGGAAGAGAAAGCAUGUAGCAGAGCUUUUCCAGAAGGAGAGUGCAGAAUUUGACAGAAUUGAUCAGGAAGCUGAUGAAUGGAGGGCUAGACAAAUUUCUAAUGACAUUGCAAAACGCAAGGUGGAAAGCAUGAAGCAGAUUGCCAAGAAGAAAGCAAAUGAGGAAAGAAAACGUCUAGAAUCUGAGCUCGAGCUUGCUCUAAUGGUCGAGAAACUACAGGAGCUCCGCUCUGUAAGGGUUGAAAAACUGAAGAAACAAGGUCAUUUUCUGCCAGAAGAGGAUGAUAAAUAUCUUGAGCGUGUCAAGGCUGCAGUUGAGGAAGAGGAGCGCCAAGCUGCAACUGCUGCUCGAACUGAUGCUGCGAAGGAUGCUAUUCUCACCGCUGAGGAAUCAAGGAAGGCUGCCCAUCAUACAACUGCUCAAGAAGAUGGCCUUGGACAGCCUAAAAGUGGGUCGGCACCAGAGCAGAACCAAGGAGAUGCAAGCAUAAGUGAGAGAAGUGAUCAUGCAAGUCAAAAGACAGAACAUGAUGGUCAAAAGGUCGAGAUAAAAGGGCCUGGGCAUUCCGAAUCUCUGACCAACCUGCCUUUUGAGUUCUACCACUAUUAUCAUGGAAGUAGCUAUGACCUGGGGACACUCAUUGAGGUACGCAGAAUGUGGGAUUCUUUUAUCAGACCUGGAGGAAGCCGUAUACCUGGCCACUGGGUUCAGCCACCCCCUCCAGCUAAUGAGGUAUGGGCAUCAUAUUUGGUGCAGCCCAAGUAAGUGCUAUUGGGUUCUGACAAUGGUUCUUCUGUCCAUCCAUUAGAGCUUUGAAGUUGGAUUUCAGCAUGUUGCUUUGUGAGAUAUUCGCCGCAAGAUCUGCCAUCAGAUUUCCUAGCAAAUAAAUGGGAAUGCUCAUCUGCAGUUCUGCACUAUUGUGGAAUUUUGCUUGGAAAUGGUUAGCGAGAGAAAACCUUGGCCCUGGUUUGCGUUGGCUUGCCCCUCUUUCCCGGUGGAGACAACCCGCUGGCAGCUGAAACUGAUGAAGCUGUCCAUUUCUUCAGACAACAUUUUAAAAAUAUAUAUGUCCUUAAUUCAGCUCAAAAGUUUUUUUUAAUGGAGGCACGAGCUUUGCCCCAUCUCAUUGAUUAAGAAAUAAUGUAGAAAUAGUUAGAAGAGAACAAACUCUUGAACAUCCAAAAGUUUCUACUCUCGUGGCAUGAUCAAUUUUAAAUGCUUUGCCCCAGCAAAAA